AGAAAUGAUAAAUUUAUUACUUACAAUAAUAAAAACCUUAAGGCAUUUUUA
rnacentral:tRNA from 1 species